rnacentral:rRNA from 1 species
GAAACGACUGCUAAGACUGGAUAGGAGACAAGAGGGCAUCUUCUUGUUUUUAAAAGACCUAGCAAUAGGUAUGCUUAGGGAGGAGCUUGCGUCACAUUAGUUAGUUGGUGGGGUAAAGGCCUACCAAGACUAUGAUGUGUAGCCGGGCUGAGAGGUUGAACGGCCACAUUGGGACUGAGACACGGCCCAAGCUCCUACGGGAGGCAGCAGUAGGGAAUUUUCGGCAAUGGAGGAAACUCUGACCGAGCAACGCCGCGUGAACGAUGAAGUAUUUCGGUACGUAAAGUUCUUUUAUUAGGGAAGAAUAAAUGAUGGAAAAAUCAUUCUGACGGUACCUAAUGAAUAAGCCCCGGCUAACUAUGUGCCAGCAGCCGCGGUAAUACAUAGGGGGCAAGCGUUAUCCGGAAUUAUUGGGCGUAAAGGGUGCGUAGGCGGUUAAAUAAGUUUAUGGUCUAAGUGCAAUGCUCAACAUUGUGAUGCUAUAAAAACUGUUUAGCUAGAGUAAGAUAGAGGCAAGUGGAAUUCCAUGUGUAGUGGUAAAAUGCGUAAAUAUAUGGAGGAACACCAGUAGCGAAGGCGGCUUGCUGGGUCUUUACUGACGCUGAGGCACGAAAGCGUGGGGAGCAAACAGGAUUAGAUACCCUGGUAGUCCACGCCGUAAACGAUGAGUACUAAACGUUGGGUAAAACCAGUGUUGAAGUUAACACAUUAAGUACUCCGCCUGAGUAGUACGUACGCAAGUAUGAAACUUAAAGGAAUUGACGGGACUCCGCACAAGCGGUGAAUCAUGUUGUUUAAUUCGAAGGUACCCGAAAAACCUCACCAGGUCUUGACAUGCUUCUGCAAAGCUGUAGAAACACAGUGGAGGUUAUCAGUUGCACAGGUGGUGCAUGGUUGUCGUCAGCUCGUGUCGUGAGAUGUUGGGUUAAGUCCCGCAACGAGCGCAACCCUUAUUGUUAGUUACCAGCACGUAAUGGUGGGGACUUUAGCAAGACUGCCAGUGAUAAAUUGGAGGAAGGUGGGGACAACGUCAAAUCAUCAUGCCCCUUAUGACCUGGGCUACAAACGUGAUACAAUGGCUGUUACAAAGGGUAGCUGAAGCGCAAGUUUUUGGCGAAUCUCAAAAAAACAGUCUCAGUUCGGAUUGAAGUCUGCAACUCGACUUCAUGAAGUUGGAAUCGCUAGUAAUCGCGAAUCAGCAUGUCGCGGUGAAUACGUUCACGGGGUUUGUACACACCGCCCGUCA